rnacentral:rRNA from 1 species
AACGAACGCUGGCGGCAUGCCUAACACAUGCAAGUCGAACGAGACCUUCGGGUCUAGUGGCGCACGGGUGCGUAACGCGUGGGAACCUGCCCUUAGGUUCGGAAUAACUCCCCGAAAGGUGUGCUAAUACCGGAUAAUGUCUUCGGACCAAAGAUUUAUCGCCUUUGGAUGGGCCCGCGUUGGAUUAGCUAGUUGGUAGGGUAAAAGCCUACCAAGGCGACGAUCCAUAGCUGGUCUGAGAGGAUGAUCAGCCACACUGGGACUGAGACACGGCCCAGACUCGUACGGGAGGCAGCAGUGGGGAAUAUUGGACAAUGGGCGAAAGCCUGAUCAAGCAAUGCCGCGUGAGUGAUGAAGGCCUUAGGGUUGUAAAGCUCUUUUACCCGGGAUGAUAAUGACAGUACCGGGAGAAUAAGCUCCGGCUAACUCCGUG